UAAAGGAUUCUUUUUUUUUUUUUUAAGAGAGGGGGAGAGAGAAUUUUUUUUUAAUAUUUAUUUUUUAGUUAUCGGCAGACACAACAUCUUUGUUUUUGUAUGUGGUGCUGAGGAUCGAGCCCGGGCCGCACGCGUGCCAGGCGAGCGCGCUACCGCUUGAGCCACAACCCCAGCCCCAGUAAAGGAUUCUUGAGUGGAAAUAAUUUUACUUAGGAAUUUCAAAGGAUGGCUCCACUGCCGUCUGGCUUCCAUCUUUGCUGUUGAGAAUUCUUGUGGACCUUGGUUCCUGAUCCUUUGAUUGUGACAUGCUGUUUACUGGAGGUUUGGGGGUUUUAUCUAUGUCCUCACUUAGAUUUCUUGAUGUGCCUUUGUAUGUUUUUCCCCCUCCUUGUGCUGUAUAACUCAAUGAGCCUUUUGUGCAAGAGAUUUAUAGUCUUUUGGUUUGGGGAAAUUGUAUUGAACUAUUUCUCAAUGAUUUUUCCCUCCAUUUUUUACCUGUUUUCUCAAAUUGAUUAUCUCCAGCCUUCACAUACCUCCUGAGUGCAUUUAUAGAGUACCCAUGAUAUGCCAGAACAUUUCUAGGUUAUAACAGUGAUAAGGGUAACAAAGUUCUGCACUCGUGGAGUUUAUAUUCUGCUGGAGGGAAAUAGGCAAAUAAGUUAAAGUAAAAAAUAAAACAGUAAUUAGCACCAUGGUAAAUAGCACUGUGACAGAUAGUGACCUGAUUAUUUUAUAAUGGGUGAUUAGAAAGGUGUUCUCUAAGAAGAUGUCAUUAAAGCUGUCUUGAGUAGUAGAAAGGAAGGAAGAAGGUGACACCAAGAAUGCUGAUGUCCUAAGGCAGGGACAAGUGGAGUGCAGAAAGACAGUGUCUGAAGUUUGGUUAUGGAAGAGCAGAGAGAGCGCAAGAGAUGGAGGUGGACAGGUAGGCAGAGAUGAAUUCCAGGGCUUUGGGGACCAUCCUAAGAGUUUGGAUUUCAUUUCUUAGUGCAAUGAGAUGCAACCAAAGCAUAAGCAGAGGACUAACAUUCAAUAAGCAAGUAUUGUGCACCUGUUAUGUGCCAGGCACUGUUCUUGGCACUUGGGACACAUUCCUUUCCUCAAGAAACUUACAUUCUAGAAGGGAGUGACAGACAAGAAAAGUAAGUAAAAUGAAUACAAAAUUUAUAGCAUGUUAGAAAAUAAGUGCAAUGGGCAAAGAAAAAAAAUCUAAUCUGUUUAUUUGAAGAAAUGAAUACAAGGGAGGGCUUAGGGAAUCUAGAAAUAAGGCUUUUGCAAAAUGGUGGUUUUGACUUAUGUGAUAGAAAAAAAUGAAUGUGAACAUGUUUUGAAUAUGUUUUGAUAUUAAGGUCAACAGGACUUGCUUGGAAAUAAUCAGAAAAAAAAGAAAUGAACUGGGGUUUUGAAUAAGGAGACAGAUGAAAGUUAAGAAGUAGGUUUAGGAGCAAUAGUAAUAAAAGUCAACAGUUCUGUUUUGCUUAUGCUGCAUUUGAGAUAAUCCACUGGGCAUCUAAGUGGAGAAGUCAAGCAGUUAAUUGACUAUAAGAAAUCAGGGCUGGAACAACUGGAUUGGGAGGAUAGGUAGACAGAUGCCACUUAAAUUCAUGGAAUGAGUGUGAAGAUCAUAACUAUAAUGGGUCCAUACUGAUCCUUGGCCUUUGAUGUAUAGAUUGGCCUGGCAAAAGGAAUAGAAGCCACAGCCAAUUGGGCAGAAAGAGGCCAAUAGUAGAAGAGAAGAGCCGAUGUUUAAAGGAAGGUAUGGCCAACUAUGGUGCUCCUGAGAAGUCAUGGAGGUGACAGUAGGAAAGUGAUGGCUUUGGCCAUGUGGAGAGGAUGGAAGAUGAAAUGGAAAAAACAAUUGUAACAUUAAAAAAAUUUAGCAGAAAAUGGAUGCUAAUAGUUGGAACACUAGAUGGAGGGCCUGUGGACUGUGUCAUAUAUGGUACCCUCUGCACCCUACCCUGUCCCCUGAAAGGAUGAUCUCUGUGGAAUGUAUUAACCAGGGUCUCUUGCCCUCUUUCUUCUAAUUGGGCUUAGCUAAUGCAUCAUACCUGCAGGAGAUCUAAGGGUGGGAGCAGAGAAGCUGGUGUUCAUUCCCCUUUUUGUCCUUUGCCAGGAGUUGGCUAAGGCUAUUCUCUUCUAUCUUAGGCCACAGCUCCUGUUGGAGUCACAGGUCUCCAAGUUCCAUCGCUGCUCCUCCCUUACCCUUUCAGAGCUGGGGUCAGUAACUGAACUUGCCAACCCAGGAAUGCUUCGCUGUUCCUUGGUUUGCCUUAACCCUACAUGCAUCUUUUUAAAUAGUUCCUCCAUUAAAUUCUCUUUAAUUACUCCUUUUGAGCAGUGGUCAUGGUAACAAAUUAACUUUCAGGUGGGGGCAAUGGAGGAAAAGAGGAGGAAGGUGGAAAUGAGACACUGCUGGCUUGAGUGUUUGUGGAACUAAGGAGACUGCUUGUGCUACACAUUUUUUAGGAGGAUGAGCAAAGAAGGUUCCUUAAAGCCUGGUUAUAUUUACAUUAAAUUCUGUGAGAAUAAACAUAAUGAGAUAAGAUGUAAUUAUUGAAGUAAUCUUUGGGGUGUGAUGAAGAGAAUGGAGGGAAGAGAAGGAAUGGAGAGCAUGCUUGACAUAGAAGUAAUAAGCUGGUUCCCAAUCUAGCUCAUGGACUUGAGAGACAGUUUUUGAAGAAUCUUCCUGAAGGAGUCAGGAACACUUUUGAAUAAAAGAAGAUUGACUGAUGAAAUGAUGACAAAAGUGCGCUACCGCUUGAGCCACAUCCCCAGCCCAAAAAAAAUUGUCAUAGACUUGUUCUUUCAUCUCAAUAUUUAUACCUCUUAGGUCUCUUAAUUACCUAGGACCUCCAGUGCAAGGUUGAGCAGCAGUCAUGAUGUCAUUCUCAUUUUGUUCUUGUUUUUUAAUGGGCUGCUUCUAUUUUUUAGUUGGAAUUAUUAAGUAUGUUCAAUUUGAUGUUUGAUAGAGUAAGAAAGUUUUAAUUCCUAGUUGAAACAUUUUCAUUAGGAAUGAGUAUUAAAUUAUAUCAAAUGCCUUUCUAUUUAUAUUCAAACAACCAUCUUUUUUUCCUCUUAUUAAUGAAUGACAUUAAUGAAUAUGUUAGAUCAUUUUUUCUAUUUUGGGACAACAAUCAUUUAAUUUCUGCUUGAUUUCAUUUAUUAAUUUUAUUUAGAAUUUUAUGUUUAUAUUUAAAAUAAGGCCAAAAUUUUUUUUUUCUCUACAUAAAGUGAUUUGGUAAGCAGAAAUUAUCUUCUUUUUCUCCCAAAGUUUUCAUAAAAUUUGCCCACAAAUCAACAUGGACAUGGUGUUUAUUUUUGUUGGGGGGUGGGUUCAGGGGAGAAGGUAUUAAAUGUUUUAUUUCUAAUUUUACUUAAUGAAUGGUUAUAGAUCUAUUUAGGUUUUCCAUGUCAUCAGGAGUGAAUUUGAAUAAGUCAUUAAUAUAAGGUUCUGUUUUUUGUUUUUUGGUGGUGCUGGGGAUUGAACCCAGGACUUUGUGCCUACAAGGUGAGCACUCUACCAACUGAGUUACAUCCCCAGCGCAAUAUAAGGUUCUUUUUUAAAUUUUUUUUAACAUUUAUUUUUUAGUUUUCGGUGGACACAACAUCUUUAUUUUAUUUGUAUGUGGUGCUGAGGAUUGAACCCAGUGCCCCGCGCAUGCCAGGCGAGCGUGUUACCACUUCAGCCACAUCUCCAGCCCAAUAUAAGGUUCUUAACAGUGUAUUUGGUCCUUUUUUUUUUUUAAUUUCUAUUUUUUUUAUACUUUUACUGUAUCUUGGUCAAUUUUUCUGAAGAUUUGCUAUAUUGGUAAUCUUUUAAAAAACCAAGUUUUCAUUGUUGUUGAAUGUUUUGAUUAUCUUCUUUAUUUCACUCAUUUUUGUUCAUCUCUCUCUUCCUCUUAACUUUUUUUAGGCUUUAUUGUUUUUAACUUACUGAGCUAGACAUAGUUUAAUUUCACUAUUUUUUCCUCCAACAUAUAUGUCUAAGACUGAAUUUCUUAUCUAAGUAAUGCUGUGUGGACUAAAAGCUAUGUCCACAAAAUUCUUUGAUACUCUUCUUCCUCUUUGAUAUUCCUUCCAUCUGUACUCAAGAGGGAGAGGAGCUGGAGGAUAAGAAUUUUAUAUUCUUUCUUUCUCCUUCAUAUACUUCACUCCUACCACUUUUAUUUCUUCACUAAUAUAUUUUUCCAAUCUCCCAUUCACCUAAUGUACCUAUAUUUUAAUUUUCAUUUGUAUCAAUAUCAGAUGAAUAGUAUAUAAAUAUUGAGAGAUUCAUGUACAAAAUUUUCCUUUUUUGAAUAAUUUUCCCCUAUCUUCUGCCCUCUAAAUAACCUAUUAGUCAUUUUGUUCAUCUGUGUACACAGUCAAUUUAAAUAAAUGUGUAAAUGUUGUACAAAACAACAACAACAACAACAAAAUAAAGAGGUAGAGGGGUUGAGGCUGUAGGUGAGUGGAAGAGCCUGCACUUAGCACACGCAAGGCCCUGGGUUCAAGCCUCAGCACCAAAAUAACAAAGUGGUAGAGCUUAAUUCUGCCUUCCUUGAGUAUUAGUUGGACUUAGUGACUUAAUCCUGACACAUGGAAUACUAUAGCAGUGAUGGCAUGUGAACUUGAAAUUGGAAAUUCUAGCUUCAGAUCACUUCAGAUCCAGCUGGUAUGUUGACUGCAGCUACAUUUCAGAAUCAGAACCAGAACCACCCAGCUAAGUUGUUCUCUGAUUUCUGACCCACAAAAACUGUGAGAUAAUAAAUUUUUAUUUACAUAGAUGCUAAAAUUGGGGGUAAUAUGUUACUAUGUAGUAAUAUGCAAAUAAUGCAGCUGUUUUAUCUACAUCAAACUCUGCCAAGUGAUAUUGUCUUUCAGUUGUAAUAUUUUGAAAUUUUCAUUAUGAUUCUUUGGUCCAUGAAUAAUUUAGAAGUGUUUUAAAGUUUUAUGACUGUAUAAGCAUUCUAAAUCGUCUUUAACUUUUAAUUUUAUUACAUUGUGAUCAGAGAUCAUUGUCUGCAUUAUUGACAAGAUGAAAAUCAUUUAGACAUUGUUUUAUUUUUAAAAAGAGGCCUGUCAGUUACGGCUUUAUUAUGUCAUUGUGCAUGGAAGGAGAUAGGUACUUUCCAAAACUAUAAGCAAGAAGUUUUGCAAGCAUUCAUAUUGUUGGAAAACGUGCUUAUUCAAAUAUUAUGCCCAGAGAAAUUAUCAAACAAGAAAGUUGUUUAAUGAAAUAGACACUUUCAAUGAAAUGUUUUAUCUGAUUCUACAGACCAAUGUUGGUAUCUGGAAAGAAACUUUUGUUACAAAUUAACAUUUUCAAGAAGAGAUUUAAGAUAAUGGGAAACAGAAUUAGGUGGAUUAUAGUUACAAAUUGCCACACAACUCUAUACCCAGAACUGUGAUGCUUUCUAUUAAUGUCCUUGGCAGGAUACCUUACAGAACAUGCAGGAGGAGAGAUCAUCACUCUUUGUUUCCUUCUGAUACUCCUUUCAGCAGCAGCUGCUACUUGGGAGAGCCAACAUCCCCAACACUAAGCAUAGAAAUUCUACUGGCUAAUGGCAGGAGAAAAGACAGGCUAGCAGCUUAAAAACUUAAAAUAAGAUAGAAGAAAGUGGGGGAAAAUAUUAAACAGAAUAUGGAGCAUGAAAUGUUUUACUUUGACAGUGAUGUUGAUCUACAUCUAGGCAUUGGUCAUUUUCCCGAAAUGUUCCACGAGACUCAAAAAGACUAUUUCCACCAUGAAGUUCAAGGUUCUGUAUAUGCCCAUUAGAUAAAUCUUUUUAUGCAAAUAUGCCACAUCAUUAUUAGAAUUAGAAUUCCAUGGUUCAAAUAUUUUAGGUCCUUAGUUAUUUUUUUUGUCUUUAAGUAUCAAUUGUCAAGAAAGAUGUGUUCAAAAAUCUGCUACUGUGAUUGUUGGUGUAUCCAGUUUCCUUUGUGGAAUUCUCUUAAUCGUUAUAUUCAUUAGAGCUUAGAAGUGUUAGUUUCCAGAUAAGUUGCUCCUUUUAUCAAAAUGUUGUAUCCUUCUUUCUCCAACCUAAUAAUACUUCUUUCUUUUUUUCUCUGAUACUGAUUUAUUUACAUCAGCUUUUCUUUGGUUAUUAUUGGCUGAUGUAUCAUUUUUAAUCUUUCAGUGUCACUUUUUUUGUUUUCUUGUAAAUAGCAUAACUGUGUUUUGUUUGUUUGUUUUGUUUCUUUGGUUUUAUGUUUUGUCUCUGAAGCUAGGAGUUGGUCUUCUGGCAGAUAUGAGUUUACUCUGUUUUUUUUACUAUGAUUAUUGAUAGAACAAUUAAUUUCCAUCACAUUGUCAUGAUUUCUAUUUAUUUUCUUCUCUCCACCUCCUUCUCCUGUUUGUUAGAUUGAUUGAGACUUCUUUAUCCCAUUCUUUCUCUUCUCCUGGUCUGGAACUUAAUUCUCUUUCCAUUUAUCCAUAAAUGGAAAUUUAAAUGCAUACUUGAAUUUAAAAAAUAAAGUGUAUCUGUGUCACUUUCUCUGAAACAAUACAAAACCUUGGAAUGCAUUAACUUGGAUCACCUCCUCAUCUGAUGUGACAUUAUCAUCAUAGCAGCUUUGUCCCACCCUUGUGUUGCUUCCAUUUUCUUAAAAACAGUGCUGCGAAGACAGGUUUGUCAUUCCCUGAGUAUGCACAUGCCAGAGUUCCCGUAGGAUGAAACUAUGGAUCACAGAGCGACAACUUUACCAGGUAACGCCAAAUUUUUGAGAGUAG
rnacentral:lncRNA from 1 species